AAGGACGACCGUCAUUUCCCCCCCUUGUUGUUACCGUAUUGUCUUUCUUUUUUAAUAAGGAGAAGAACACAGCAUGGUGAAAUGAAAGUAAAAGCAGCGCAUUAUCUCUUUACAAGUGAACAAGAACAGAACCAAAUGUUUCACAUCUGCUCCUGUAGUUUGCAGCAUUACCAUGUGAAAGCCAAAGGAGUGUUUCAAUGCAGUACAGCCCACUGCUUCAGAAUGGAGAUGGAGACCUCAGUCAAAACACCGGCUUGCUUGUGCCAGAUGUCCCCAUGACGAGGACACAAUGAAGGGGCUGAUUCGCGUUUAACAAAUCACACCCUGGUCCUUUCGGCCAUCCCGGGAGAAAGAAGAGGCAACAAUCAUAUAGAUCUACAAUGUUUUUAUGGUCAGCAAGCAAAACCUCAAGUGCAUCCUGGGCUCCCAUGGCUUGCUGCAGUUUUCUCUGGACAGCUUUAUGUGUGGAUUUGGGACGUCUCAGCAGGAGAGAGACAUCUUUACGGCCAGUGCUGUCGGAAAAAUACAGGGCAGGGUCUGCGUAGUUUUCAAGCAAAACUGGAGAGAUAUCCUCACUCUUGCCUUGUCCAAGAUCUUUGUCCAAGAGAAAAGACCAGAGGGAACCACUGAACGCUUCUGC